AUUGAACGCUGGCGGCAUGCCUAACACAUGCAAGUCGAGCGAGCGGCGGACGGGUGAGUAAUGUAUGGGGACUGCCCGAUAGAGGGGGAUAACUACUGGAAACGGUGGCUACUCCCGCAUACUAUCCGAUAACCCAUAUGGGAUUAGCUAGUCGGUGGGGUAAAGGCUCACCUAGGCGACGAUCGCUAGCUGGUCUGAGAGGGUGAUCAGCCACACUGGGACUGAGACACGGCCCAGACUCCUACGGAGGCAGCAGUGGGGAAUAUUGCGCAAUGGGCGCAAGCCUGAUGCAGCAAUGCCGCGUGUAUGAAGAAGGUCUUAGGGUCGUAAAGCACUUUCAGCGGGGAGGCGGUACCCGAAGAAGAAGCACCGGCUAACUCCGUGCCAGCAGCCGCGGUAAUAC
rnacentral:rRNA from 1 species